rnacentral:lncRNA from 1 species
GAGCUCAGAAUGACAUUUCAGAAUCCCCUAUUCCCAAACACAUAGCUCAUCAGAAAUGCCUCCCACUAUUUACAGAUUCGCUUCAUUGAAAUAUGAUGAUGCCAGGCAGACAGCAAUGUGUGUUCAGUGGAAUUCAAUUUUCCUGAUCACUGGCUCCAUCGAUCAGUCUGUUUGCAAAGGGCUGAUGCAAGCAUCAGUACACCUCGUGUAGACGAUGGGCAGAGUCAGAAAAAUACCUCUGUGGGACCUGCCGCAACUCCAUCAAACUCUGGGACAGUGAGUACUUUAUCUUUUCAACUUCACGAAACUUUCCUUGUUGUUCAUAAUUGUGUCAACAGAUAUCUGUUAACCUGUAACUACUUUCAAGUCAUGAAAUGCAUGGAAAAUCUCAAAGGGAGCUUCCUUUUUUGACCCAUAGGCAAAGUCUGAGAAAAGUAGAAGCAUGCUUCUCUUUUCAGAUAAUAACUCUAGGUCGUAAGACCAAAGGUGAUCAAUAACUGACCUCAGUUUCUCUGAAAACUGAACUGUGCACCAUGAACAUUCCCUCUCCAAGUAGGAUAGUUUUCCAAAGCCAUCACUUUCUGAAUAUUUUCAUAGACCCUUUGAUUUGUCUGCAGGGCCUGGUUAACAAAGAAAAGGGUUACUCAUAAGACAUCAGCAAACCUGAAGUCAGUUGGGUUGAUACUAUUAUUUCCAUUUCACAGAUGAAGAAAUUGAGGCUCAGAAAGUAUACCUGAAUUAUUAAAGUUCACACAGCUAAAUAAUGGUGUCACUGGGAUGACACCUGUGUACCUUAUUGCUCAGUUUGAUAUCAUGCUGUACAUUAAUGCUUGACUCCUGCCAGCUUCUUAUGAUCACAGUUGCAUUUUAUCAUUCAACACUGCAUCCUUAAAAUUUGAAUCCUGUUCAUUUAUCCUUGAGAAAGAAACCAGGUUAGGUACAAACUGCUGUUUUAAAAUAUAAUCUGAUUCUACUCUGAAAAGAGAAACUUGAGGAAGCCCUUCUGGUCAGCAGUAAAAGGUCAUGGUAGGUUCAAUGUCUGAAAAUCCAAUACGGAUUUCAACAUUCAGGUUAAUAAGCAAAGAAUCUUAGAUAAUCUUUCUAAUCUUCUUCAGAGCUAGCUCCUGUUUCCAACUUGACUGGUAAAGUUCAGUUAUACUGCCGGUCAAAAUAAACACUCUAGGUCAAAUAGUUCACUAUUUUGCUCUUGCUCAGGUUAAAUAUUUUAUCCCUUUUGGACAGCAAAAUGUGUGUGUGUGUGCCUGUAUACUAUUUCCAAGCCCUAGGAAAUAUAAGGUAAAUUUUAAAGCAAAUAAUAUACAAGUUGUCUGAAAUUGGUUAAUCAUCUUAACUGAUAUCUUGUGUCCCAAUUGCUAAAAAAAAUAAGAAAGAAAGAAAGAAAGGAGAAUGGGGAAGAGAAAUAUUUGAAAAGACAUAAACGGGUAGAGCGUCAUACCAACACUGACACAUACGCAACGUAAAUAAUCUCUCGAGCGCAUAAACUGCACUACAGCUUACAAAGCGCUUCCACCCACAAAACGUCUCUACUAUAACUCUCAAUACUACCCCACGUAUGAAGUAGACAGAAUCAGUAUAAAUAGCAUCAUUUUAAAAAUCAGAUAACAGAUUUAGAUCUAGAGUCUUGUUUAGGAGCCUUGAGUCCAGAAUUUCUUCUACACCGUCAUUUCCACAUCGAUUAGCCUUCACUUACAUAGUGUUUACCAGCAGAAGAAACCAUUAAAAGUGCUUUAUGUUGACUCACUUAAUGUCUAAAAUGCCUAGAUAUACAUACUCUGACUCAAAAUGCAAUUGAAAUUUUUAUGUAAACCAACCAAAAUAUAAUUCACAGUGGGAAUGGGUGGGCAUUCAUUACCAAGAAAUAUUAAUGUUGGCUAUGUGAAUGGCACACGUUUAAAUGGUUUGUGCUGCACUUGCUCAACACUAAACACUCUUCAAAAUGCUUUCCCCCUUAUAGUGUCUUUUGAUCCUCACCAGAUCCGCAUUUGACACAGCAGGGAAGCUGAGGCUCUGUCUCCCAGAACUCAGUCACAUUAGCCAUAUUUUGACAAGAAGCUGCACUGUUAGUGCUGGUGGGUGGUAGAUGUCAGGAGGGAAUUGAGAAGGG